rnacentral:rRNA from 1 species
GGCCUUUUGAUUAUAAUUUAAGGUCUAGCCUGCCCAAUGAUAAAAAUUUAAUGGCCGCAGUAUAUUGACUGUGCAAAGGUAGCAUAAUCAUUAGUUUUUUAAUUGAAAGCUGGUAUGAAAGGUUUGAUGAAAAAAAGACUGUCUCUAUUUAAAAUUUUAGAAAUUUAUUUUUAAGUCAAAAAGCUUAAAUUUAUAUUGAAGACGAGAAGACCCUAUAGAGUUUGAUUUAUGUAAAAAUAACCAAAAUUUAGUAUUUAAAAUUUUAUUUUUACAUAAAUUUAGUUGGGGUGAUUGAAAAAUUUAUAAAACUUUUUUUAUAUUUUUACAUUUAUUUAUGAUUUUAUGAUCCUUUUUUAGAUUAUAAGAUAAAAUUACCUUAGGGAUAACAGCGUAAUUUUUUUUAGAGUUCUUAUCGAAUAAAAAGAUUGCGACCUCGAUGUUGGAUUAAAAUUAAAUUUUUGGUGAAGAAGCUAAAAAAUUAGGUCUGUUCGACCUUUAAAUUUUUACAUGAUCUGAGUUUAAACCGGUGUAAG